CAGUAGCCGCGGUAAUACGUAGGUGGCAAGCGUUGUCCGGAAUUAUUGGGCGUAAAGGGCUCGCAGGCGGUUUCUUAAGUCUGAUGUGAAAGCCCCCGGCUCAACCGGGGAGGGUCAUUGGAAACUGGGAAACUUGAGUGCAGAAGAGGAGAGUGGAAUUCCACGUGUAGCGGUGAAAUGCGUAGAGAUGUGGAGGAACACCAACGGCGAAAGCACUCUGCUGGGCCGACACUGACACUGAGAGACGAAAGCUAGGGGAGCAAAUGGGAUUAGAUACCCCUGUAGUCCCUGUCUCUUAUAC
rnacentral:rRNA from 1 species